CGGCUGGGGAGAACGGCGGGGGUUGUGCUUGCUUGGCCACAGAAUAUAUACCUGCUCCGCAAAGGUUCACCUUCCAACACCGUAGCCAGAUGCAGAGUUAAUUGAGAACAACCGUCAUCCACAGUGAAAAUGUCCGUACACCUGAUUUAGACUGAAAUCAGUAUGUGUUCUUCAUACUUCAAAAGCGACAUCCCACCUUUCUGUAAUGUGCAGGCAACUGACUCCACCACUUUCAUUUGGACGACUAUAAAUUCGAGGCACUUCUGGAAGUUGGCAUCUCAUUUGAUUGUAGACUCAGCACAAAGCUAAGCUCAACCUCAGACUUGACCAGUCAAGGGAGGCACUGUAACCUAGUGUUUUUUGUUUGAUUUGCAUCACCAAGUGCUAUUUCUGCUGUCGCUAGCACCAUUACUAAAAAGGGUGACCCAGUUUGCACUCCAAAAUUUAUUUUGGAUCUCAUGGCAUGUCUCACUCAACCACAACACAAAAAAAAGAAAACAAAAUAAAACUUUUUUUUGGUUCUUUCCCUUUUUUCGUUUAAUGUCACCUGACAGUCUGGGCUAACAUCCCCUGGUCUUCUACUCAUUUCUCAUGACUUCCCAGUUAUUUUAGUGCUUAUGGAGUAAUCUGGGCCUUCCUUUCAAAUACAUGGCAUAUCGUUCCCUGGAAGACUGGUACUUGGAUAGACUUUGCAUUUAUCAAUGUGUACUCAUCUUCUAAAGUACAAAAGUAUACUAACUUACAUAUAUCACUUUGGCCUCUGGCAGCCUAUUAAGGAAUCUAUAAAAGUAGUUAUUUUGUAAGGGAAAUACGUAUAUUGUUUGAAGUUACUACUACUGCCUUUCAACUUCAGAAUCCCAAAGUGAAAUCACAGUCUAGUUUGCAGCUUUUGUACUCUCUUCCUCAUGUCCAUAUAUCUUAAAAUGUAGAAUAAAUUGUAUAUGAAGCAAUUAAGUGGUGAAUGUAAAACCACAGUUUCAAAUUCAGCAGGAUAAUGCAAAAAACAAUAAGAACAAGGUUGAUUAUGUAACAAUGCCCCAUUGAAAAUUAAUAUUGGGAAAUGAGCAGUAGGAAUAAAAUGAGAAAUGCAUCAGCUCGUAACCAAUGGAAGUAGAAGAAGAGAAAGAAAAAAUAAACAUGCAUUUUUAUCAUUUAUAAUUAGAAAAAUUGCCACCACACCCUGGCUCAAUACUUGACACUUGCCAGCUCUGACAACCAGCCAGUCAUUGACUAGUUUCAAAAGUAAGUCACUUGGAGACAAUUGAAGGGCUUGUGCAUUUCAGUGUAAGCUAAAGUAGUUUGUACCUUACUAUGUGAAAUAGGACCACUGAAUCUUUCCACUGGUGUUCUGCAUUUUGAGUUCUAGACAGUUGCUUCUAGUUGACAAGUAAUCCAGCAUUAAAAACCAAGACAAGGAUACAGUAGUUUAUUUCUUAAAUACAAUACUUGACCAAAAUGAUCCUAGUAAGUUAUUUAAUGGUCUUUUAGCAGCAAGAACAAAGUGGUAAUACAACCAGUUCUUCUUAGCUCUUUUUCUCAGUAGUGAUUAGGUUUAGAUUAGUCACCACCUACAUUGUGUACGUAACUAAGAACAUGUACCCUUUCAAGACAAAAACUAGUCUGUGGGUCACUCAAUUUUGGUUACUCUGUUAAAGAAGUUGUUUCUCUACUCUGAGUCAAUGUGAAUCAAAAAAGCCUUUACAAUGUGAGAAGGAGUGGAAUUAAAAUAUCUCCUGAAUAGGCCUCUUGUCUGAAGGUCACCAAAAUACUUUACUAAAAAUGAGGAGAUUAAAUAAUUAUGGAUAUUGCCCCCAAAGUGGACUACCUUUUAUAAAAAUUUUAAAAAAUCAAGAACAAUUGAUUAAAGAAAUGUUCUCCUCCACAGAUUUUGUCUCUGGGCUAAAUGAUGUAUUUUUUCUUGCUCACAGCAGUAAUCUAUGCAAAUAAAAUUCUACGGUCUGAUCUUUUGUCACAUGGUAAUCUGGCAUGAACACAUUUCCGGAAUUCUUUAUUCUUACAGAAUUGUGUUACACAGGUCUGUCAGCUGUUCAGUCUUCACUGCCAUCUACAUUUACGACUCCUCUCCACUCCAUAUACCAGGUCCAGCAUUGCCAUAACUAUUCCCCUGCCAGAACACAAAAUCUAACUAUUCCUUCUGACACCUUUACCUUUCUAUCCCAGUUCCUGUAUGGAGCCACCUUUGCUCCAAGUUGGCAAAUGAUGGUUGUAAAUUCCAAUUUUCAAACAAUGUUAUUGAUUCUCAGUCAGAUUUAGAUUAGGGCUUUGACUGGGGCAUUGGAGGACAUUCAUUCUUUUUUGUAUUUGAGCCACCCUAAAGUUACUUUAACAUCACAAAAACAAACCAUUAUUAAUAUUUAAGUAGAAUUUGCUAUUAGGCAGUUAUAGUUUUAACUGUUGCAUUGAAUUCUGAGUCUGUCUUUUUCCAUCAGAACUGAAUAUUUACAUCAGAUAUCCUUUGAAUGAGCAAAUGCUUAAAUACUUUAUAUUACAAGACUAGUUUACACUACAAUGAAAAAGGGCUGAAAAAAAAAACAAGAAUAUUAUUUAGUCUCUGGAACAACCUAACUGUCUUGCAGGAAGGUUCUCCCUAUUAAUUUAUAAUCAGUGAUCUAAGGUACAACAAGUUGCAGAAAGUAAAAAUAAUUUUUUCAAAAAAAGGGCAAUUGAAAUAAUGAAAAAGUUAAACAUGCUGGGUUCAAAGGGGAAUCAGAUUUUAUGUGGUAUAAAUAAGGUGGCCAAGCUGGUGGCAGGGCUAUGCAGACCUGGGAAUGAAGUGUAACCAAUCUUACUGGCUCUGGGGCUUAUCAAGGCCAAAAGCAAGAUGGGUGGAGUUGUCUCUCUGGUGGCUAUUGGAGGAAAAGUAGGAGUGAGGAUUAAGUUGCAGCAUAAUGAUGCAACCAGUUAGACUGUUUACCUGUGAACUAUUGCAGAGUAGUUUUCUGCCAUCAGGGCCUAGAAGUACUUAUAAAAUUUCUCUAACCCCUCUAACAAGAAGCAAUGCAUAAAUACAUGUAAAGACAUAAAAAGUAACAAAUGUGUUAUGGAAAUCUUUUUAAAAGGAAGGAAUACCCUAGAGAUGAACAUGCAGGAGUUAAGUAUUACUGUAAUUUAAACCCUGAAUUAGACUAUAGUGAAUUAGAAAAUAACAUUCAAAAAGGUACAAUACAAUGCAUCAAAAGUUCUCUGAGAAUCUGAUUAAGCAACCUAUUAAAUAUGUCAUUGCUUUUAAUGUAGAAGCAUCCUGAAUUAAAUUUUUUACAGUAAAUAAUUUGUAUGUCUGUAUGCAAGUGGGAUACUGUAGAUGAAAGGGGUGAUCUGAAUAUUUUUAUGCUAUAGAAAAAAAAAAAAACCUAAACACUAUAUAAUUAACCCUGGCUAACUUUGGUAACAUGCAAAUAUCAUACAGAAAAGCAUAUUUUCUCAGAAUUAAAUCAGUAAUCCAAAUUGUUACUCCUGCUACCUACCCUUCUUAAGUAAAAUUCUAAAGAAGGCAGUCAUUAUGCAGUUAAAUGACCACCUCAAUAAACAUGCUAUUCUUGAUACUU